UUCAGAGCUUACGAUGUUGUCAUCUUGAGUUUGCACAGCUGCUUUAUCAAAAAACCUGGAUGGAUUUAUAUUUUCAUUGGCAUUAAACGGUAAGACAACCCAUGGAAUGUUCAUCAGUCAAAUUUCAACGAAAGCAAAUGAAGUUAAUUACUAAUUUUCUUCUACAGACUGAGCUGAAUGAUGAUCUUUUAGUUUUAAGGCACAUUCGCUCCAGAUUUCCUCAAUGAAGCAACAAAAACCUGAGCUAUUCUUGUGAAAGGACUGCCUCCAGGU